UACGGGGGGAGCAAGCGUUGUUCGGAUUUACUGGGCGUAAAGGGCGCGUAGGCGGUCAGCACAAGUCAGUUGUGAAAUCUCCGGGCUUAACUCGGAAAGGUCAACUGAUACUGUGCGACUAGAGUGCAGAAGGGGCAACUGGAAUUCUCGGUGUAGCGGUGAAACGCGUAGAUAUCGAGAGGAACACCUGCGGCGAAGGCGGGUUGCUGGGCUGACACUGACGCUGAUGCGCGAAAGCCAGGGGAGCGAACGGG
rnacentral:rRNA from 1 species